rnacentral:rRNA from 1 species
UACGGGGGGGGCAAGCGUUGUUCGGAAUUACUGGGCGUAAAGGGCUCGUAGGCGGCCAACUAAGUCAGAUGUGAAAUCCCUCAGCUUAACUGGGGAACUGCGUCUGAUACUGGAUGGCUUGAGUUCGGGAGAGGGAUGCGGAAUUCCAGGUGUAGCGGUGAAAUGCGUAGAUAUCUGGAGGAACACCGGUGGCGAAGGCGGCAUCCUGGACCAACACUGACACUGAGGAGCGAAAGCCAGGGGAGCAAACGGG